CAUGUGCACACAGAGGUGUUCCUUGCAGCCCCCUCCCUCUCAGGUGUCCUGAGAUGCUGCUCCUGGGAGCCCCCUCAGAAAACUGCCUCACCGGAGACAAGUGCCUGCUGGACAGAGCAGGAAGCGGUAGAAGACGCUCGGCGGUUCUGGCCUCCGAGCAGCAGGUGGCGCUGUGCGUCGUCUGCGGAAGCCGCGGAGGCCUCGCUGACUGACUUCCGGUGUUGGCGGUGGCGCCGCGCAGUCAUCGCGGAGCUGACGCGGAGGCUGGUGGGCGCUGGGAGCGAUGCCGUACGCCA
rnacentral:sRNA from 1 species